CAGCCGCCACGGGAAUACAGAGGGUGCGAGCGUUAAUCGGAUUUACUGGGCGUAAAGCGUGCGUAGGCGGCUUUUUAAGUCGGAUGUGAAAUCCCUGAGCUUAACUUAGGAAUUGCAUUCGAUACUGGGAAGCUAGAGUAUGGGAGAGGAUGGUAGAAUUUCAGGUGUAGCGGUGAAAUGCGUAGAGAUCUGGAGGAAUACCGAUGGCGAAGGCAGCCAUCUGGCCUAAUACUGACGCUGAGGUACGAAAGCAUGGGGAGCAAACAGGAUUAGAUACCCCAGUAGUCCCUGUCUCUUAUAC
rnacentral:rRNA from 1 species